GUCAAGCAUUCAUGGCUUAACCUACAAACAAAACAUUUCAAAGCACAUAAGGUUUGAAAUGACUUCAUCAUAUGAUAAGAAAAUAAUAAAUAUCCGCUAUAAAAAAGAAAUAAUGAAAGGACACACUUUUAGAUUUAUAGAAUUGAGAUUUUACUUUGGAUGUGACUAUGUGAGGACCACAAAGUGCAGUCCACAGAUUACAUGCAGGUUUGAAGGUUACCAUGUAGGAUAUUUGAUAAACCUAUACAAUUUUUGUGAUAAGCCAAAAUUCCAGGCAAGAUAUAGCUGUACACAUAGUGACAAUAAAAAUAGGUAUUCAGAGCAUAAUCACCUAGUACACUUGGAAAGAACAUGGUAAUUUUAAACAAAACAUACCUGCGGCAGUUAUGGAUUCGU
rnacentral:misc_RNA from 1 species